ensembl:lncRNA
AUGCCGCCCCCACCCCCACCCCCACCCCCAAAGAGUUCCGGCUNNNNNNUCUUUUACUCCCAACUUGGAACAGCAAAACUUCCAACCCCAGGUCGGGAGGCGGAAAAGGAAGGCAAGGCUGAAGGAAACUUCUCACGGGGCCCGGGUUUCCUCCGCACUUCCCUCUGGUGGAGCCUGCGGAAACCUCCUCUGCCCCCGCGGGCGGGCAGACCUUCUCAGUCGGAAACUGAAGCCGGCCUCGGCUGGGUGGACGGGUGGACAGGAAGCGCCUCGGCCAAGGGCAAGAGCCCCCGUCCGCUCCGCGACCCCAGCCAAGGCGGCAACGCCCCCACCCACCCGCGGCCCCGCCCUGGGCGAAGUCCUCGCGGCCCCUCACCCAGCGCGGCGGCGGGGGCGGGUGAGUCAGGCCCCCACCCCCAGCUGCCCCGGAGAGGGGAGGGCCAGGCCUCCCCCGACGCCCACCUCGGGCAGCCUUGCCAGUCCCCCUCUUGGACAGGCCGGAUUCUUUCAAGUCCUGACCUCACCCAGACGGUGGCCCCUGGCAGUGCCCACUUCCUACCACACCCGGCUCCCCUAAUGCCGGGAGCCCAGAGCCAGCUGGUGUAGGAGACGGAAUCUCGGACCCAUUUCUCUAGUGAACCAUGGCGCUGUGUGAUGAGUAUUAUGACUAUGUGCUGAUCAGGUGGGCCCUCUGCAAAGGGCCCACUGCUUCCUUCUUCCCCACAGGCCCUGGGAGAACAGGUCACGCGGGGGGAGAGCGUGUAAGAACCAUUUCCUGAGCACCUCCCACCCGCCGGCACCUCGGGCCCCUGCCUUUCCUUUGAACAGCAAGGCCCAGUAGGGUGACAACUUGCCUGUCAACAAUGAGGAAACAGGCUCAGAGAGGGAAAGGGGCUUGCCCAAGGCCACGGAGCAGGUCCGGGUGGUCCGGAAAUUCAAACCACAGGUCUCCUGGGACCUGCUUCUGCUCCAGUGUGAGCAAGUCUGGUAUCUGGGAAAUCGGAGCCAGGCUGCUGUGGGGCUUGAGGUGCCCUUUGGGCCAGAGGCCAGGAAGGAGAGCACAGGGCUGGCAGCCAGGCAGGAACAAUGGCAUGGGGCGGGUAACGGGAAGCUGGCCAGGUCUGGGGCUCCUGGGCAGGCCCUGCUGGGCCCUCGAAGCAGCAGACUCAUCCUGCGGAGCUGCAGGGUGACACCAGCCUUGAGCCGCCGACUCAGCGAUCGCAUCGGCCUUUUCCUGGAAACCAGCAGCUGCAGCGGGAUGUCUGGGAGGACGCACCUGUUUGGGGAAAGGGUGUGCGCGCCAUUGCCCGGCCCUGUGCUCCUCCCAGCCCGCCGUUGUCCGCACUUCCGGGAGCUCUGCCUACCAGCUGGGACCCCAAACCCUCCGGACCCAGCAGCCAGAGUGGCUGCAGGACUGAGUCUAGGGGCCCUUGGUGACCAGUGCCACCCAGCCCUGGUCUGCCAAGCAAUACGGCCUCCAGGGCGCCUCUGCCCCAGCCUUCCGCGAAGCCCCGCGCUGCCCCACCCUGCAGGCGGCUGCCAGUCCUGUUUGUUGGCCACUGAUGCCGUGCUGCCGGGGUCACAGCUGGAGGGGCAUCAAAGUCAGGUUUGAGGCAUCCCACCACCCACUGGGCACAAGGCUUCACCCGCGGUCACGAAGAGGGGCCAGGAGGGACUUGCGGGGUGGUCCAGGGGUUGAGAAGCUACCUUCCAAUGCAGAAGACUCGGGUUCCAUCCCUGGUCGGGGAACUGAGUCCCACCCGGCCUGGCGCAGCUGAGCCCACAUGCCAGUGAAGGAUCCCGCUGCCAACUCAGACCUGAGAAGGCCAAACAAAUAAAUACACGUUUCAGUAAAAGAAGCGAGGUCAAGAGCACCCCAGCCCCCAGGCCAAAGCAGGAGAGCUGGGGCCCAGCAGGCAGUCCUGGCACUUGUCACCGCCAGGAGGGGAAGAGGAUCGGGGCACGCUGCUGCAGAGGGCAGCGUCCCCACAGCGGGCAGAGCAUGAGCCCGGGGGGAGAGCGGGGCGCAGCCAGGCAGCGGGGCUGACGCCUGGCCGCAGGGCAGAGAGGGCCCGCGGGCGCCUCGGUAUGUCCCUCUCCUCUCUAAGAGGGGGCGCUCCCGUUCAGAAGGGGCCUGCUGGUGGCCGAUGACCGCCGGCUCCNNNGCGGGGCGCUGACCGGGAACAGGCGGGCGGGCGGCUUCUGGAAGGCACCCGCGUGGCUCCCGGUGCCUGCUUCACGUCGCUGAACGCGGAGCCGGGAGGAGGCGGAGCGCCAGGCCACGCGAGCCCCGGCCCCGCGGGCGCUGACUCCCAUCCCAGUCUGCCCCUCACAGAGCCGCUGUGAGGACCACGGCGGCUGGUGGGUGAGCAUGGGCCCCCUGAGCGGGGCGUCGCUGCAGAGCCGGUAGGAGGUGGCUGUCGCAGCGGAAGGCUUCAGGGAGCAGGCCCGAGGUCAGGCGGGCCUGUGUCCAAAGAGGCUCUGCCUCUUAUUUGCUGUGUGACCUCAGGCAAGUUGCUUCUUCUCUCCGAGCCUCUGUCGCCUCCUUUGAAAAAUGUGAAAUGUAUAUACAGAAUCUGCCCAGAAGGUUGUUCCAGGAGGUAAUUAAGGAGGUUGUUCAGGAGGUAAUCGAUGCUGAUGAAGUGGCGUGAUCUGGGCUCCCCGGGUGGUGCUGGCGGAACCCGACUGCGAAUGCUGGAGACGUGGGUUCAACCCCUGGGUCGGGAAGAUCCCCUGGAGGAGAGCGUGGGAAUCUUCUCCAGUAUUCUUGCCUGGAGACUCUCGUGGGCCGAGGAGCCUGCUGGGCUACAGUCCAUGGGGUCGCAAAGAGUCGGACGCAAAGAAGCAACCUAGCGGCAUGCGUGCGUGGUGGAGACUUUACCAUGCCAUUGUGGAGCCGAGACCUUGGUGUAAAGACUUGGACAUCCCAGGGCCUAGGCCCGCUCUCCAGGUCCUCUGGGGAUAAGCAUCUUUCAGUCUUAGGAACACUCCCUUCCCCUUCAGUCCACCUUCGGGCAGUCUCAGAAGGAAGGGGCUCUGGGUCCAGCUUGGACACCCCCCACGUACGUGUAUUCAGUAAGCCUUAAGCACUCCUGAGAGCUCGGCCCGCGCUGGGACCCCUGAAGUCUUCAGGAGCUGACGGUCCAAAGGGAGCCCUGUGAGGCUGAUGCCCUGGGUUCCGGGGCUUCUGGGGAGGGCCGGGGCGGGAGUCGGCAGGGGGAGGGCGCAGGAGGGUCNNNNNNNNNNNNNNNNNNNNNNNNNNNNNNNNNNNNNNNNNNNNNNNNNNNNNNNNNNNNNNNNNNNNNNNNNNNNNNNNNNNNNNNNNNNNNNNNNNNGGGGAGGGCCGGGGCGGGAGUCGGCAGGGGGAGGGCGCAGGAGGGUCAGCACCCGGAGGAGGUGCCGCGGCCAGCCGCCGUCCCGCUGUCAGGUUUUUCCUCUCCGAGCCGUCAGGACUGGGCGGGCGCUCCGACCUCCCAAAGGCUGUGCCCGCCCGUGCCCCUGCCGGCCGCUGCCCUGGGCCCGCCCCCCCAACACACAGCCAGGCGUCGGGGGCUCAAGCCGGGACCGAGGUGGAAGGACCCCCGGGCUCUGCUGCCCUCUAGUGGCAGGACCAGAAGCUGCUGCUCCCACCGGAGGAGACGAAUGAACCGCAAUUACUUUAAAAAAUAAUAUGAUGACGAUAUUCAUCCUUUACAGUCUGUAAGAUGCCUUCUCAGCCAGUUAUAGGCUGCAGGGGAAAGUGCAGGACACCGGACUGAAAUCAUACGGGAUUUAAGCCUUGAGUCAGGUUCCAGCUGGUUAUGUGACCUCAGACAAUUUGCGUCACCUCUAUGAGCCUCAGGCUCCUCAUCUGUAAAAUGGGCGACAAAGUAGGGUUGCUGUGGGAAUUUCCUGGCAGGCUAGUGGUCAGGGCUGCGUGCUCUCGCGGUCGAGGGCCCGGGUUCUCAGGACACGGUCAAGAAGAUGAUAAUAAUAAUAGAGUUGUUGUGAGGAUUAGAAGACCUUAGGCCUGGGGCAUAAUUUGCAUUGAAAACAAAAGCACCAUAAUUGUUGUCCUAAUAACCCUUGCCCAGUCUGCCACAUACCCUGAUAUAUCUUAAUACUUUCCGUAAAGCCCCUUUUCAAAGCGCCACCGCCUUUAAUCUGCAUUAUCGUUCCAGUUUAACAGGGGAGGGAAUUAGCGCUCAGAAGGGGAAGAAACUUGCCUAGAGCAUCACGGCUUCUAAGUGGCACAACAGGACCCAGGUCGGUCUGCUGACUCCAGCUACAGGGCUCACUUCCCCACACCCUGCUUUGGAAACUCGAAAACACCUUAAAAUUCCCUUUAUCACCAUAUUUAAAUAAACAGGCACAGCCUCUGCCCCCUUCAGCCUCUUUCUGCACCUUCUCCCACACCCGCGCCAGCAUCUAGAAGGCCAGAGCUAACAGCUGAUCCCCUCCGCUCCUUCCUGACCAGAUCCCGGCCCUAAGCAUGGCUCCCAGAGGUCACCCUGCCUGUACUCCUGCACCCCACCCAGGCUGGUGACUGCUCGUCCUGUUCUUCACGCUGCUCAAGGGAGGAGAUUCCAUAACUUCACUUCCUCCACCCGCCCAGGUGUUUGUUACAGUUCCCACAGUUGGGAAGUUCUACUUUAUGUCUAACCAGAGUCCCUCCAGCUGCAGUUUCAGCCCCUUUCCUCUUGUUCUUUCUCCCAGGAGUAUCAGAAAUAUACUCUUAGCAGGACAUCGGAAACCCGGAGAGAAGGACCCUGGAGUGGGAAAGGGUCACUCCAGGACAGGAAGUGACAGCUGAGCCUAGGUUGAAAUCCAGGUCAGGGCGGCAGGAGUGGCUGAGCUGGUCUCCGGUGCCCAGGGCAGCCUCACCCAGGCUGGGGUGGGGCAGCCUCACCCAGGCUCCCAGCGUGUGGCCCCUAGUGGGGCUGGCGUGGGAACUGAGGGGCAGAGCAGGUCUGAGGGGACGCGCGGGGUGCAGACUCGGGAGUCGCACGGAGCUGGGUUCAAGUCCCCUCGACACAGCUCUGCUGGGCGUCUCCUUUGUGCAGGCGCUGUGGACCCCACAGUCCAACAGGCAAGUGGGGAGGUGGGGGGACCGCAUAUGUGACGGUGAUCACGGAAGGUCUCCUGAGGCAGCGGCAUUUUGAGAGUUGGACCAUAAAGAAGGCUGAGCACCAAAGAAUUCAUGCUUUU